GCUCUAAUUUCAUCACUGUGAGCUUCCAAAGAAAUUCACUUGUGUUCUUUAAACUCUGCUUUUUCAGUUGCGACUGAUAAACAGCGGAUACAGAUUCUGAGCCCAUCCUAGCACUCUCCCUAAGCUGGUGUUGGGGCAUCUUUAUGUUGCGACUGAUCACUGUUGAGUGUUAAAACAAGCAGAAAUCUCCUGAUGGUGGAUUCAGAUAUGGAUUACGAUUCUGGAGCGUUGCUCAUCAGCAUCCAGAAGACGAUGUAGGCCUGUGGCAUAUUCUAGACCUUCCUUAUCCUCUGAUGAAA